GGGGCUGAUUCUGGAUUCGACGGGAUUUGCGAAACCCAAGGUGCAUGCCGAGGGGCGGUUGGCCUCGUAAAAAGCCGCAAAAAAAUAGUCGCAAACGACGAAAACUACGCUUUAGCAGCUUAAUAACCUGCUUAGAGCCCUCUCUCCCUAGCCUCCGCUCUUAGGACGGGGAUCAAGAGAGGUCAAACCCAAAAGAGAUCGCGUGGAUGCCCUGCCUGGGGUUGAAGCGUUAAAACGAAUCAGGCUAGUCUGGUAGUGGCGUGUCCGUCCGCAGGUGCCAGGCGAAUGUAAAGACUGACUAAGCAUGUAGUACCGAGGAUGUAGGAAUUUCGGACGCGGGUUCAACUC
rnacentral:tmRNA from 1 species